UUCUAGGAAGUGGAAGGCUGAGUCAGGAGACACUGCUAGCUGCCGCCAUGAGAAAUAAGAGAUCAUGGAAGUCCUGGCUGGCAUGUUGCACUUUUAAAUCAUUGCUCUUCAAAGAUAACAAACCGCUAAACUUCUGUAAUAUAUUGGUUGUCAGACACUGACUUGUAACUGACUACUGGAGUGUAAAUCUGAAGGCAGGGAGAAAGCAAAUUGAACUAGCCUUCUAUUCAAAAGAAAACAUCACCUGGGCCGUAUGGAAGCUGAAAGCAUGUGAACCACAGCAAACUGUUGCUGGUGACAAUCUCUAAGAGAAGAAUAAAUAAGAAUACAAUAAAGUUAAUACAAAUUUGAAGAUAAACGAUGCUGAAAGAAGCAAGUGGCUUCUGUCGAAUCAGAAACUGUCAACACAAGUUGAAGACUGAAGAAGAGACAAGACAUCCACAUGUGUCCAUGAAAGUCAUGAUUAAAGAUGUCAUGGGAUCCAGGAGGAGAAAAUUUCAGAUGACUGUUGGACACUGGGGAAAGCUACUAAGCAACACUUGUUGUGGGUCCACUCAACAGGGAACAGAAUGGUUUAAAAACUUGAGUUUGGGGAAUGAAUUAUUAUUAUUAUUAUUAUUA